rnacentral:rRNA from 1 species
CAGUGGGGAAUAUUGGACAAUGGCGCAAGCCUGAUCCAGCAAUGCCGCGUGGGUGAAGAAGGCCUUCGGGUUGUAAAGCCCUUUUGUACGGGAAGAAAUCAUCCGGGUUAAUACCCUGGGUGGAUGACGGUACCGUAAGAAUAAGCACCGGCUAACUUCGUGCCAGCAGCCGCGGUAAUACGAAGGGUGCAAGCGUUAAUCGGAAUUACUGGGCGUAAAGCGUGCGUAGGUGGUUGUUCAAGUCUGUCGUGAAAGCCCUGGGCUCAACCUGGGAAUGGCGAUGGAAACUGGGCGACUGGAGUGCGGUAGAGGAUGGCGGAAUUCCCGGUGUAGCGGUGAAAUGCGUAGAGAUCGGGAGGAACAUCCGUGGCGAAGGCGGCCAUCUGGACCAGCACUGACACUGAGGCACGAAAGCGUGGGGAGCAAACAGGAUUAGAUACCCUGGUAGUCCACACCCUAAACGAUGCGAACUGGAUAUUGGUCUCAACUUGGAGAUCAGU